GAUAAAUCGUUAAAGAAGCAAAGUAGAUUUUAAAUCAUUAAAAAGAGAGUUAAUGGCUGGUGAAAAUUAACAUGAUUGAAAUUGAAAUAAACCCUUCUAAGAGACAGAAGAAAAUCCAAUCUGGAUGAGUAGAACUGUACGUUUGACUAACGUUAUAAAGUUCUUAAAGUGCUAGAUAAACUAUCUAGAAUUAAGGUGGUACCGCGGAUUUAUAAAAAUAAUUCAUUCGUCCUUAGA
rnacentral:ncRNA from 1 species